rnacentral:tRNA from 1 species
GCGCCCGUAGCUCAGCUUGGAUAGAGCGCCGGACUUCGAAUCCGUAGGUCGCAGGUUCGAAUCCUGCCGGGCGUACCA